GGUCCCUCUCCUUCAAAACGACUCUCCCUGUAGCUCGCUCCCCCGUUCCCCAAUCUCUCGUCGACGGUGGUAGCUGCCCAGAUAGGCAGAUCCGGUGCUUCCAUGGUGGACGACGGUUACUCCCACGGCACAUACUCCCUGCCCCCUGCCCUCCUACUACGGCAUCUAGGUCGCUUGGUUCCGCCCCCAGGCCACCACAUCAUCACGCUGCACAUCAUCGUCAGCGACCGGGCAGCCGCCGCCACGGUGUCCUCGUCCCUGGUGGCCGCGGAUAUCCCGCCCGCUCAACAUGUUCCUACAUCCGGAGGCAAGCUAGUAGUGAUCUAGUCCGUGGUGAUGCUGCCACUCCUCCCCGUUGCUCCUAGAUCCAGCAAUAGCUCACCGGAGGCAAGCCGGUGGUGUUCGAUCUCCUCGCCUCCUUCGCCUCGCAGGAUCAGAAACAAAGUCCGCUCCGUUUUUCCCACUUCCCUCCCCUCUCUCCCUCCUGUAGAUUACUCUCUAAUGGCUUCUCCCCUCUCCUGUGACGCUUAGGAUGAUGCUUAGUGCUAUGGCUUAAUUCUGGUCUGAUCUCUCCCAGCACAAGAAGCUCGAUAAGCACGCUAGUAAUGGAGGCUUUUUUGUUGUGUACCAUCAAGUAGCAAAAGUUGAUGCAAUUUUUACUGGCAAUGCUUGCUGAAACGGCGAUUAUUUUGGUCCUUCAUAAUUAGUCUUGCAUGAGAUGUAGCAAAAACGAUCCUCUCAUGAUAUGUUACACUUGAUAAGAUAUGUAUGUGCGUCUCUUCUGUUAUGUUCGGUCUGGGAUCAUGCAAUUUCAAAUGUAUGUUUCGUUA